GCCUGACUCAUCUCUCAGGCUCAGCAACACAGGUCACAGACUGGGAACUGAGGCUACUGGUGGAUGGAAAGGAAAGAUUCGCUGGCGAGAGUAACUUGCUGCAGGAAUGAUCCAUUGGAGACUUUAAGACCAUGCUUGGAAGAUAAGAGACAGUUGCAACCCAAAUUCUGAAAGACUGACUUCACUGCCACUUCAUCCACUGAUGGAAAGAUGCUCACCCAAGGUGCAUCCUGCCCUGGCACUCCAUGAAAGGGACUCUGUGAAAGCUGGGAAAACAACUGUGAUGGGGUGUACUGGAGCCUUUGAGGCCCGCUGCUGGAGGCUUCAUGGUCCUACCACAACACACACACGCACCAGAAAAGGAACAGCGAAAGUGGGUCUUCCAGGCCUUCCUACAGAGGCUGCAGGGAAGCAGUUAAAAGGACCUGCGGGGCUGGAGCAGAUCAGUUGCUGGCUAGGACUGGAAGGGUGAGGAAGGAGAGGAGUUGAGAUCUUCAGCCCUGAGGGAAAGAUGAGGAGGAAGGGGCUAUGUGGGAAGCGGCCAAGGGAAUAGCAGCAGCAUUCCAGAAAGCAGCACAUGGCUGCUAUUUAUAGAGUCCCUGGGUCCAUCCCCUAGAGUAAUCGGCAGGCCUGGGUCCUCCCUCAUCCCCCACUGGCAGGGUGGCCUAAGCCCCAAGAAGGGGAUACGGUUGUUUAGAGGCCCAAGUGAAGAGCAGGACUUAGAGUCCCCAGGGAGACAGCCCUGGGGGCACUGCUCUAUAUCAGGGCAAACGCAGACUUAAAGCUAGCCCAGAAGGGGCUGAGGAUUGAGUCAGAAGCAGAGCUUUUGACA